rnacentral:rRNA from 1 species
CGUUCGUAGUUGAAUUUGUGCUUCAUACGGGUAGUACAACUACAAUUGUGGAUUGUACAUUACCUUAUGUAUGCAAGCGUAUUAUCGGUGGAGUUCUAAUAUAUGAUGGUACUUGUACUGUUAUAUAUACCUCCUAUUAAAACCUGCUUCAGUGCUCUUCAUCGAGUGCUGUUGUGGGCCGUUACAAUUACUUUGAACAAAUUAGAGUGCUUAAAGCAGGCUCCAAAUGCCUGAAUAUUUUGUGCAUGGAAUAAUGAAAUAAGACUUCUGAUCUACUUUCAUUGGUUUUUAGAUCAAGAGGUAAUGAUUAAUAGAAGCAGUUUGGGGGCAUUAGUAUUACGACGCGAGAGGU